AACGAACGCUGGCGGCAUGCCUAACACAUGCAAGUCGAACGAGACCUUCGGGUCUAGUGGCGCACGGGUGCGUAUCGCGUGGGAAUCUGCCCUCUGGUUCGGAACAACAGUUGGAAACGACUGCUAAUACCGGAUAAUGACUUCGGUCCAAAGAUUUAUCGCCUGAGGAUGAGCCCGCGUAGGAUUAGCUUGUUGGUGAGGUAAAAGCUCACCAAGGCGACGAUCCUUAGCUGGUCUGAGAGGAUGAUCAGCCACACUGGGACUGAGACACGGCCCAGACUCCUACGGGAGGCAGCAGUGGGGAAUAUUGGACAAUGGGCGAAAGCCUGAUCCAGCAAUGCCGCGUGAGUGAUGAAGGCCUUAGGGUUGUAAAGCUCUUCUACCCGGGAUGAUAAUGACAGUACCGGGAGAAUAAGCCCCGGCUAACUCCGUGCCAGCCGCCGCCGUAA
rnacentral:rRNA from 1 species